GAUGAAGAACGUAGCGAAAUGCGAUACGUAAUGUGAAUUGCAGAAUUCAGUGAAUCAUCGAGUCUUUGAACGCACAUUGCGCCCCCUGGUAUUCCGGGGGGCAUGCCUGUCCGAGCGUCAUUGCUGCCCUCAAGCACGGCUUGUGUGUUGGGCCUCCGUCCUCCUCCCGGGGGACGGGCCCGAAAGGCAGCGGCGGCACCGCGUCCGGUCCUCGAGCGUAUGGGGCUUCGUCACCCGCUCUUGUAGGCCCGGCCGGCGCUUGCCGACACAUCAAUCUUUUUUCCAGGUUGACCUCGGAUCAGGUAGGGAUACCCGCUGAACUUAAGCAUAUCAAUAAUCGGAGGA
rnacentral:misc_RNA from 1 species